rnacentral:misc_RNA from 1 species
AACGCACGAGACCUGCGGACCUGCGGAAGGAUCAUUAAUGAGAAGCUGCCCCUCGUGGGUAGACCUCCCACCCUCUGUGAACUUACCUUUGUUGCUUAGGCAGGCCCGUCCUCUGGACCGCCGGCUUCGGCUGGCCCGUGCCUGCCAGAGGAUUCCAAACCCUGUCUGUCAGUGUUGUCUGAGUCUAUAUGAAAUCGUUAAAACUUUCAACAAUGGAUCUCUAGAUCGGAAGAGCACACG